UACAGAGGGUGCAAGCGUUGUUCGGAAUUAUUGGGCGUAAAGCGCGUGUAGGCGGCUUUGCAAGUCGGGUGUGAAAGCCCUCGGCUCAACCGAGGAAGUGCGCCCGAAACUGCAGAGCUUGAGUACCGGAGAGGAUGGCGGAAUUCCCCAAGUAGAGGUGAAAUUCGUAGAUAUGGGGAGGAACACCGGUGGCGAAGGCGGCCAUCUGGACGGAUACGUGACGCUGAGACGCGAAAGCGUGGGUAGCAAACAGG
rnacentral:rRNA from 1 species